rnacentral:rRNA from 1 species
UACGGGGGGGGCAAGCGUUGUUCGGAAUUACGGGGCGUAAAGGGCUCGUAGGCGGCCAACUAAGUCGGAUGUGAAAUCCCCAGGCUUAACCUGGGAACUGCAUCCGAUACUGGAUGGCUUGAAUCCGGGAGAGGGAUGCAGAAUUCCAGGUGUAGCGGUGAAAUGCGUAGAUAUGCGGAGGAACACCGAUGGCGAAGGCAAUCCCCUGGGCCUGCACUGACGCUGAUGCGCGAAAGCUAGGGGAGCGAACGGG